CGGGUAUGAAACGUACAACGGAGAGUGCGUUACUUCACUGCUGGUGUCAUGAAGAAACAAUUGUUUUCCAUGGAUGAAACGUGGAUGCCAAGCGUCUUUGGAUUGCAUUUGUGGUCCUGGCAGAGUUGAUUAAAGCUCCCCUGCAAGGCCCAGCUCCAGAUUCUGCAUCAGGGACCACAGGUCUCCCUCCUCUAAAUCUCCCCAAGAAGGACUUUGAAAGUGAGAAAAGAGGGAGCAUGUUGCUGCUCAGUGGUUUAAUUGCUUGUGGCAGGAUGGAGAGAAAAAAACAAAUUUCCAACAGCUGAUCAGCCUAUAUUCUUCUGUGGGUGUAAUGAAAGGCGUAUGACCAGAGAGAGUGAUACAAUGAGCGCGAGAC